AAUAGAUACCCGGGUAGUCCACCCCGUAAACGUUGGGAACUAGUUGUGGGGUCCUUUCCACGGAUUCCGUGACGCAGCUAACGCAUUAAGUUCCCCGCCUGGGGAGUACGGCCGCAAGGCUAAAACUCAAAGGAAUUGACGGGGACCCGCACAAGCGGCGGAGCAUGCGGAUUAAUUCGAUGCAACGCGAAGAACCUUACCAAGGCUUGACAUACACCAGAACACCCUAGAAAUAGGGGACUCUUUGGACACUGGUGAACAGGUGGUGCAUGGUUGUCGUCAGCUCGUGUCGUGAGAUGUUGGGUUAAGUCCCGCAACGAGCGCAACCCUCGUUCUAUGUUGCCAGCACGUAAUGGUGGGAACUCAUGGGAUACUGCCGGGGUCAACUCGGAGGAAGGUGGGGAUGACGUCAAAUCAUCAUGCCCCUUAUGUCUUGGGCUUCACGCAUGCUACAAUGGCCGGUACAAAGGGCUGCAAUACCGUGAGGUGGAGCGAAUCCCAAAAAGGCCGGUCCCAGUUCGGAUUGAGGUCUGCAACUCGACCUCA
rnacentral:rRNA from 1 species